rnacentral:rRNA from 1 species
UCCGGUUGAUCCUGCCAGAGGUCACCGCUAUUGGAAUCCGAUUAAGCCAUGCGAGUCGAGAGGGUUCAGACCCUCGGCGCACUGCUCAGUAACACGUGGAUAAUCUGCCCUGGGGUUGGGGACAACCUCGAGAAAUUGAGAGCAAUCCCCAAUAGUUCUGGAAUGCUGGAACGCUUUCAGAUAGAAAGAUCCGUCGCCCCAGGAUGAGUCUGCGCUCUAUUAGGUAGUAGUGAGUGUAAGGUACUUACUAGCCUCCGAUGGAUACGGGCCUUGAGAGAGGUAGCCCGGAGAUGGACUCUGAGACAUGAGUCCAGGCCCUACGGGGUGCAGCAGGCGCGAAAACUUCACAAUGCGGGAAACCGCGAUGAGGGGAUUCCAAGUGUCCGCAUAUGCGGACUGUACCGGUCCCUAAAAAGGACCGGGAGAAAGGGCUGGGCAAGACUGGUGCCAGCCGCCGCGGUAAUACCAGCAGCUCUAGUGGUGAUCGCUUUUAUUGGGCCUAAAGCGUCCGUAGCCGGAAAGGUAAAUCCUUGAGUAAAUCGGGCAGCCUAACUGUCCGCUCUUAGAGGAGACUGUCUUUCUUGGGACUGGGAGAGGUCAGGAGUACUCUGGGGGUAAGGGUGAAAUCUUAUCAUCCUCAGGGGACUACCAGUGGCGAAGGCGUCUGACUAGAACGGAUCCGACGGUAAGGGACGAAACCCCGGGGAGCGAACCGGAUUAGAUACCCCGGGUAGUCCGGGGCGUAAACGCUGUGGGCUUGGUGUUGGGGGGUCUUACGUGGGCGCCCAGUGCCGGAGCGAAGUUGUUAAGCCUACCGCCUGGGAAGUACGGUCGCAAGACUGAAACUUAAAGGAAUUGGCGGGGGAGCACUGCAACGGGUGGAGCGUGCGGUUUAAUUGGAUUCAACGCCGGAAAACUCACCGGAGGCGACGAUUACAUGAAGGCCAGGCUGAUGACCUUGCCCGAUUUUUCGAGAGGUGGUGCAUGGCCGCCGUCAGUUCGUUUCGUAAGGUGUUCUGUUAAGUCAGAUAACGAACGAGACCCUUAUCCUUAAUUGCUACCUGCUUUUCCGAAGGUAGGGCACAUUAAGGAAACCGCUGGUGCUAAAUCAGAGGAAGGUAAGGGCAACGGUAGGUCAGUAUGCCCCGAAUCCUCCGGGCUACACGCGCGCUACAAAGGUCGGGACAAUAGGCUCCGACACCGAAAGGUGAAGGUAAUCCGUAAACCUGAUCGUAGUUCGGAUUGAGGACUGUAACUCGUCCUCAUGAAGUUGGAAUCCGUAGUAAUCGCGGGUCAACAUCCCGCGGUGAAUAUGCCCCUGCUCCUUGCACACACCGCCCGUCAAACCAUCUUAGUUGGGUCCAGAUGAGGGUUCAUCUACCUGAUGAAUUCGAAUCUGGGUUCAGCGAGGAGGGUUAAGUCGUAACAAGGUA